AAAAAAAAAAAUAAUAAUAAAAUAUUUCAAAAGUUGUUUUGAGCCGUCGGUUCUGGGUUGCGGGUGCUCUUAUAAAAUUGCAUCGAACAAAUUAUAAUUACUUUUUGUGUGUAUCACAUGUAUUUUGUGUAAUAUUGUUCUUUGAAUCAACCGGUAAAACCUGCAGAGUAAAAAAAUUUUAAAAAAAAAGAAUUAUUAUGUAACAAAAGUAAAUCAAUGGCAGCUGGAGAGACACAACUCCUCAUUUCCAGAUUUGCUCCAGAUUAUGUGCAAUAGUAUCAUCGCGAAGGUGACUCUUUGAUUAUCCAAUUGCCACGAUUUAUGCCUCUACAAAGCAACAAUGACAAAGAAGACAUGGAAAUAGGUGAGGAAGCCACACCGAGUAAGACGAUGAGGAAGUGAGUGAAGAAGCGACAUCAACAAAGACG
rnacentral:lncRNA from 1 species